rnacentral:rRNA from 1 species
AGCGAACGCUGGCGGCAGGCUUAACACAUGCAAGUCGAGCGGGCCCUUCGGGGUCAGCGGCAGACGGGUGAGUAACACGUGGGAACGUACCCUUUGGUUCGGAAUAACGCUGGGAAACUAGCGCUAAUACCGGAUACGCCCUUUUGGGGAAAGGCUUGCUGCCGAAGGAUCGGCCCGCGUCUGAUUAGCUAGUUGGUGGGGUAAUGGCCUACCAAGGCGACGAUCAGUAGCUGGUCUGAGAGGAUGAUCAGCCACACUGGGACUGAGACACGGCCCAGACUCCUACGGGAGGCAGCAGUGGGGAAUAUGGGACAAUGGGCGCAAGCCUGAUCCAGCCAUGCCGCGUGAGUGAUGAAGGCCUUAGGGUUGUAAAGCUCUUUUGUCCGGGACGAUAAUGACGGUACCGGAAGAAUAAGCCCCGGCUAACUGCGU